AACGUAGGUGGCGAGCGUUAUCCGGAUUUACUGGGCGUAAAGGGUGUGCAGGCGGGCUGUUAAGUGGUGCAUGAAAUCUCCGCGCUUAACGUGGAGAGGCUGUGCCAGACUGGCAGUCUAGAGUACGAGAGAGGGUUGUGGAAUUCCGGGUGUAGUGGUGAAAUGCGUAGAGAUCCGGAGGAACACCAGAGGCGAAGGCGGCAACCUGGCUCGUAACUGACGCUCAUACACGACAGCAUGGGGAGCAAACAGG
rnacentral:rRNA from 1 species